UACGUAGGGGGGCAAGCGUUGUCCGGAUUUAUUGGGCGUAAAGAGCGUGUAGGCGGCCAAACAGGUCAGCUGUGAAAAACUCGAGGCUCAACCUCGAGACGUCGGUUGAAACCGUUUGGCUAGAGUCCGGAAGAGGAGAGUGGAAUUCCCGGUGUAGCGGUGAAAUGCGCAGAUAUCGGGGAAGAACACCCCGUGGCGAAGGCGGCUCUCUGGGACGGUACUGACGCUGAGACGCGAAAGCGUGGGGAGCGAACAGG
rnacentral:rRNA from 1 species